rnacentral:rRNA from 1 species
CCUACGGGAGACAGCAGUAGGGAAUAUUGCUCAAUGGGGGAAACACUGAAGCAGCAACGCCGCGUGGAGGAUGAAGGUUUUCGGAUUGUAAACUCCUUUUGUUAGAGAAGAUAAUAACGGGAUCUAACGAAUAAGCACCGGCUAAGUCCGUGCAGGCAGCCGCGGUAAUACGGAGGGUGCAAGCGUUAAUCGGAUUCACUGGGCGUAAAGAGCGCGUAGGCGGGAUUGAAAGUCAGAUGUUAAAUCCUAUGGCUUAACCAUAGAACUGCAGUUGAAACUGUUAUUCUAGAGUAUGGGAGAGGUAGGUGGAAUUCUUGGUGUAGGGGUAAAAUCCGUAGAGAUCAAGAGGAAUACUCAUUGCGAAGGCGACCUGCUAGAACAUCACUGACGCUGAUGCGCGAAAGCGUGGGUAGCAAACAGGAUUAGAUACCCUGGUAGUC